GGGUCAGUAGGUUGGUCGUGCCACCGGUACGUACUGGUCUCACUGACUCCUCCUUCCUGAAGAACCGUAAUGCCAUUAAUUUGGUGUUGCGGGGAAACAGGACUGUUACUUUGAAAAAAUUAGAGUGUUUAAAGCAAGCUAACGCUUGAAUACAUUAGCAUGGAAUAAUGAAAUAGGACGAUCGAUCCUAUUUUGUUGGUCUCUAGGAUUGACGUA
rnacentral:rRNA from 1 species